AAGGUACUCCCUCCGUCUGGAAAUACUUGUCAUCAAAAUGGAUAAAAAGAGAUGUAUCUAGAACUAAAAUACAUCUAGAUACAUCCCUUUUAUCCAUUUUGAUGACAAGUAUUUCCGGACGGAGGGAGUACUUA
rnacentral:pre_miRNA from 1 species